rnacentral:tRNA from 1 species
GCCCGGAUAGCUCAGUUGGUAGAGCAAGGGACUGAAAAUCCCUGUGUCGGUGGUUCGAGUCCGCCUCCGGGCACCA